UAGGGAAUCUUCGGCAAUGGACGAAAGUCUGACCGAGCAACGCCGCGUGAGUGAAGAAGGUUUUCGGAUCGUAAAACUCUGUUGGUAGAGAAGAACGUUGGUGAGAGUGGAAAGCUCAUCAAGUGACGGUAACUACCCAGAAAGGGACGGCUAACUACGUGCCAGCAGCCGCGGUAAUACGUAGGUCCCGAGCGUUGUCCGGAUUUAUUGGGCGUAAAGCGAGCGCAGGUGGUUUAUUAAGUCUGGUGUAAAAGGCAGUGGCUCAACCAUUGUAUGCAUUGGAAACUAGUAGACUUGAGUGCAGGAGAGAAGAGUGGAAUUCCAUGUGUAGCGGUGAAAUGCGUAGAUAUAUGGAGGAACACCGGUGGCGAAAGCGGCUCUCUGGCCUGUAACUGACACUGAGGCUCGAAAGCGUGGGGAGCAAACAGGAUUAGAUACCCUGGUAGUCCACGCCGUAAACGAUGAGUGCUAGAUGUAGGGAGCUAUAAGUUCUCUGUAUCGCAGCUAACGCAAUAAGCACUCCGCCUGGGGAGUACGACCGCAAGGUUGAAAC
rnacentral:rRNA from 1 species